GGUGAACGCUGGCGGCGUGCUUAAGACAUGCAAGUCGAACGGCAGUCUUCGGACUGUAGUGGCGCACGGGUGAGUAACGCGUAACUGACCUACCCCAAAGUCGCGGAUAACGAUUCGAAAGAAUCGCUAAUACGUGAUGUGCUGUCAGAUUGUGUUCUGCCAGUAAAGAUUGAUUGCUUUGGGAUGGGGUUGCGUUCCAUCAGCUAGUUGGUGGGGUAAAGGCCCACCAAGGCGACGACGGAUAGCCGGCCUGAGAGGGUGGCCGGCCACAGGGGCACUGAGACACGGGUCCCACUCCUACGGGAGGCAGCAGUUAGGAAUCUUCCACAAUGGGCGAAAGCCUGAUGGAGCGACGCCGCGUGAGGGAUGAAGGUCUUCGGAUCGUAAACCUCUGAAUCAGGGACGAAAGACACUUCGGUGGGAUGACGGUACCCGAGUAAUAGCACCGGCUAACUCCGUGCCAGCCGCCGCCGUAAGAC
rnacentral:rRNA from 1 species